UACGUAGGGGGCAAGCGUUGUCCGGAUUUAUUGGGCGUAAAAGGCUUGUAGGUGGCCACGCCAAGUCGGAUGUGAAAUCUCCCGGCUCAACUGGGAGGGGUCAUUCGAUACUGGCGGGCUCGAGGCCGGUAGGGGGAAGUGGAAUUCCCGGUGUAGUGGUGGAAUGCGUAGAGAUCGGGAGGAACACCAGAGGCGAAGGCGGCGACCUGGACAGUUACUGACACUCAACUACGAAAGCGUGGGGAGCAAACAGG
rnacentral:rRNA from 1 species